GUGGAGCAUGUGGGUUAAUUUGACUCAACGCGGGGAAUCUUACUAGGUCCGGACCGAUUCUAUGAUCGUCGUACUGUGGGGUGCUACGUGAUUACUGGAUGAGUGGUGCAUGGCCGUUCUUAGUUCGUGGUGUCAGUUGUCUACUUAAUUGUCAUUGGUUCUCGUAUCAUGCGAGAACUGAUAACGAACGAGAUCGAGGCCCGUGGUUGUGUCGUUGGUUAUUAUUGUGUGCGGCAUUAACCACGGGGAUCGCGUAAUACUCCACGGUACGAUCGAAAGACUCGGCAAUAACAGGUCUGUGAUGCCCUCAGAUGUUCUAGGCUGCACACGUGCUACAUUGUGGUUUCGCGUAGUGUGUGUGUGCAUAGAACUGAUAAGAUCCCCCGCACCGAGUCUCAAUUAAUCACUUGGUUGGACUCACCGAUUGUAUAAUUAUUCGGUAUACUAA
rnacentral:rRNA from 1 species